rnacentral:rRNA from 1 species
UACGUAGGUGGCAAGCGUUGCCCGGAUUUAUUGGGUUUAAAGGGUGCGUAGGCGGUUCUGUAAGUCAGUGGUGAAAUACGGCAGCUCAACUGUCGAGGUGCCAUUGAUACUGCGGAACUUGAGUACUGAUGAGGUAGGCGGAAUUGACGGUGUAGCGGUGAAAUGCUUAGAUAUCGUCAAGAACACCGAUAGCGAAGGCAGCUUACCAAGCAGUAACUGACGCUGAGGCACGAAAGUGCGGGGAUCAAACAGG